rnacentral:rRNA from 1 species
CGGCAAAAUACUCCCGUAAGUUCGCGAGAAGGGAGACCUCCGUUUGGGCAACCAGGCGGGGGUGGCACAGAAAUGGGGGUGGCGACUGUUUACUAAAAACACAGGUCUCUGCAAAAUCGUAAGAUGAAGUAUAGGGGCUGACACCUGCCCGGUGCAAGUAGGUUAAAAGGAUAGGUGCAAGCUUAGAAUGGAAGCUCUUGUAAACGGCGGCUGUAAUUCCUGACGGUCCUAAGGUAGCGAAAUUCCUUGUCGGGUAAUUUCCGACCUGCAUGAAUGGUGUAACGACUUCCCCACUGUCUCCAAUACAAGUCCAAUGAAAUUGAAUUUUCCGUGCAGAUGCGGAGUAUUUAUCGUAAGACGAAAAGACCCUAUGCACCUUUACUAUAUCUUUAUAUUGCUUUUGACAAAAGAAUGUGCAGGAUAAGUG